AUGUGGACCCUGGGUGAUGGAGCUGGGGUGCAAGAUGUGACCCCCUGUUCUGGAGUGUGGGGUGUGGAUCCCUGGAGCUGGGGCUCAGGAUGCAGAUCCCUGCAGGAUCUGCUGUGGAUUGCUGGGAUGUGGAAUGUGAAUCCUGGGUGCUGGGGUGCAGUGUGUGGAUCACGGGGGUUGGAAUGUGCAUCCUGGGUGCUGGGUGUGGAUCGCUGGGGUGUGGGCUCUGGAUCCUGCUCCUGGGGCUGUGGUGUGGGUCGUGUCCCUGGGUGCCGGAUGAAGCCCGGGAAGGCUCAGCAAGGCUGGGAAGUAGCCAGGGGCCGGGCUGGAGGCGUGGGACUGAGCCCACCCCGCAGCUGGCGGCCCCACUGCUCCCCACCCAGCUCCUGGGGCCGCUCACUUGGCCGCAGAUCCUGCAGAUCUUAUGGAUGCUGCAGGGCCAGGGCCAGCCCAGCCCCGGGGACAGAGCCUGGAGCCAGGAGGGCUGGGGCUGUCCCUGCUGGGGCUGGGCAGGGGCAGGGGAGCUGCCGGGGCCUUGCUUCCCCCUGUCCCGGGGCCGUGGUGGGGCCCUGCCCUCGCUGCAGCCGCCCCAGGAGCAGCUGGGUGGGGAAGAGCCAUGAGCUCAUCCUGCUGUGCUGGGCCAGGGCAGGGCUGUGUCCUGCUCGUGGCAUCACAGGGACCCCUCCUCAUCCCAGCACCCACUGCUGCACCAAACCCACCAGGGUGGCACCUUGCCAGCCCCACUGUGGCACCCGGACAUGGCCCUGGGGAUCCCCACCGUGGGAGCAGCAUGUGGCUGAAGGGAUCCACCACAGUGGGAGCAGGACACGGCUGUGGGGAUCCCCCUGUGAGAGCAGGAUGUGGCCAUGGAGGUCCAUCACAGUGGAAGCAGGAUGUGGCCAUGGGGACCAUCCCACAGCCAGACCAGGACAGGGCUGUUGGAUGCCCACGGUGGGAGCAGGAUUUGGUGCAGCAGUGACCCCGAGCCCGUGGCUGUGCAGUGGCCCUGGGGCUGUGUCCCCUGGCCUGGGCUCCCUGGGUGGGCUCUGCAGGGCACCAGGAGGCUGCAGGAGGCACAGCCUGGGCUGGGCUGGGCUGGGCCGUGGCCGGAGCCCACAGCCCCGCUGCCCACGCCUGCCCCAGCUCUGGUGCCAAGGGGAGCAGGGAACAAAGGCGGCUUGUGGCGGGCGCCGGGUCUCUGCCCUUCCUGCAGGAAGCCCCGGGGCCGGACAAGGGGCCCGUGUCCGGACAUGGCCGCCCGCCAGCACGUGCCGGGGGGGUGGCGAGGGGGUGGCGAGGGCGGCCGGGGAUGCCACUGCUCCCUCACUGCUGCCAUGGGCAGCCACAGGACAUGGGAACACCAUGGACACCCCUGGGCACGGGAGCACAGGGCUCUGCUCCCUCACUGCUGCCAUGGGCAGCCACAGGACACGGGAACACCACGGACACCCCUGGGCACGGGAGCACAGGGCUCUGCCCUCCACCUGCCCCUCCAGAGGCAGUACUGGGGCUGCGGUGGCUGGGGGCUGCCCAGGGGGGAACCACACUCAUGUGCCAAUUCCUGCAAUGUGCCCAUCCUCAGUGUCCCCAUUCCCACACAGUUCAAUGGCCCCGUGGCCACCUCCUGCACUGUCCCCAUUGCUGUCCCUUACAAUGCCCCCAAGCCCCCGGCUGGGAGCUCAGCUGGGCACAGAGAUGGUGGGGUCAGGACUGGCCACGGCAGGGACAUCCCAAGCUUCCUCCGGCAUCUGCCCCCAGAGGAGAGCCCUGGCAGGCACCGUGAGCACCCUCAGCUUGGCCCUGGCACAGUGA
rnacentral:lncRNA from 1 species